rnacentral:rRNA from 1 species
GACGAACGCUGGCGGCGUGCCUAAUACAUGCAAGUCGAGCGAAGUUUUUCUGGUGCUUGCACUAGAAAAACUUAGCGGCGAACGGGUGAGUAACGCGUAAAGAACCUGCCUCAUAGACUGGGACAACUAUUGGAAACGAUAGCUAAUACCGGAUAACAGCAUUAACUGCAUGGUUGAUGUUUAAAAGUUGGUUUUGCUAACACUAUGAGAUGGCUUUGCGGUGCAUUAGCUAGUUGGUGGGGUAAAGGCCUACCAAGGCGACGAUGCAUAGCCGACCUGAGAGGGUGAUCGGCCACACUGGGACUGAGACACGGCCCAGACUCCUACGGGAGGCAGCAGUAGGGAAUCUUCCGCAAUGGGCGAAAGCCUGACGGAGCAACGCCGCGUGAGUGAAGAAGGAUUUCGGUUCGUAAAGCUCUGUUGUUAGGGAAGAAUGAUUGUGUAGUAACUAUACACAGUAGAGACGGUACCUAACCAGAAAGCCACGGCUAACUACGUG